CCUCUUGAGUGUGACUUUCACACGACAGGGGCUCCUCAGCCGAGGCUGUGGCCCUGAACCUGCUCAGGCGCUUCUCCGAGAAGCAGCUGCCUAAGGCGUCAGACUUGCAGUGGCUGGUCUCAGAGCAGGAUGCUGCCCAGUCGCUGCUGCCCCUGCCUGAUGCCUGGCCUGUUUCACCCGACCAAGUGGAGGAGGACUACUAUGCUUUGCACAAGAUGCGUCUUCGGGGGAACUCUGAGUGGGCACCACCAAGGGAACAAAUCAUCUUCAGCAUGCAGCCAGAACUGAGGUAAGC